rnacentral:rRNA from 1 species
GCGUAAAGCGCGCGCAGGCGGUUUCUUAAGUCUGAUGUGAAAGCCCACGGCUCAACCGUGGAGGGUCAUUGGAAACUGGGGAACUUGAGUGCAGAAGAGAAAAGCGGAAUUCCACGUGUAGCGGUGAAAUGCGUAGAGAUGUGGAGGAACACCAGUGGCGAAGGCGGCUUUUUGGUCUGUAUCUGACGCUGAGGCGCGAAAGCGUGGGGAGCAAACAGGAUUAGAUACCCUGGUAGUCCACGCCGUACACGAUGAGUGCUAAGUGUUAGAGGGUUUCCCCCCCUUCCCGCUG